GGGGAAACUGAGUGGCGAACGGGUGAGUAACACGUGGGUGACCUACCUUCGAGUGGGGGAUAACGUCCCGAAAGGGACGCUAAUACCGCAUAACAUCCUGUCCUUGAACGGAUGGAGAUCAAAGCCGGGGAUCGUAAGACCUGGCGCUUGAUGAGGGGCCCGCGUCCGAUUAGCUAGUUGGUGAGGUAAUGGCUCACCAAGGCAACGAUCGGUAGCCGGCCUGAGAGGGCGGACGGCCACACUGGGACUGAGACACGGCCCAGACUCCUACGGGAGGCAGCAGUGGGGAAUUGUUCGCAAUGGGCGCAAGCCUGACGACGCAACGCCGCGUGGAGGAUGAAGGUCUUCGGAUUGUAAACUCCUGUUGCUCGGGACGAAUGACUGCGACCUAACACGUCGUAGUGUGACGGUACCGGGUGAGGAAGCCCCGGCUAACUCUGUGCCAGCAGCCGCGGUAAUACAGAGGGGGCAAGCGUUGUUCGGAAUUACUGGGCGUAAAGGGCGCGUAGGCGGCCUGUUAAGUCGAACGUGAAAUCCCCGGGCUCAACCCGGGAACUGCGUCCGAUACUGGCAGGCUUGAAUCCGGGAGAGGGAUGCGGAAUUCCAGGUGUAGCGGUGAAAUGCGUAGAUAUCUGGAGGAACACCGGUGGCGAAGGCGGCAUCCUGGACCGGCAUUGACGCUGAGGCGCGAAAGCCAGGGGAGCAAACGGGAUUAGAUACCCCGGUAGUCCUGGCCCUAAACGAUGAAUGCUUGGUGUGGCGGGUAUCGAUCCCUGCCGUGCCGAAGCUAACGCAUUAAGCAUU
rnacentral:rRNA from 1 species